AGAGUUUGAUCAUGGCUCAGGACGAACGCUGGCGGCACGCUUAACACAUGCAAGUCGAACGAGAGAAGAGGAGCUUGCUUUUCUGAUCUAGUGGCGGACGGGUGAGUAACACGUGAGCAAUCUGCCUUUCAGAGGGGGAUACCGAUUGGAAACGAUCGUUAAUACCGCAUAACAUAAUUGAACCGCAUGAUUUGAUUAUCAAAGAUUUAUCGCUGAAAGAUGAGCUCGCGUCUGAUUAGCUAGUUGGUAAGGUAACGGCUUACCAAGGCGACGAUCAGUAGCCGGACUGAGAGGUUGAUCGGCCACAUUGGGGCUGAGACACGGCCCAGACUCCUACGGGAGGCAGCAGUGGGGAAUAUUGCACAAUGGAGGAAACUCUGAUGCAGCGAUGCCGCGUGAGGGAAGAAGGUUUUAGGAUUGUAAACCUCUGUCUUCAGGGACGAAAAAAGACGGUACCUGAGGAGGAAGCUCCGGCUAACUACGUGCCAGCAGCCGCGGUAAUACGUAGGGAGCGAGCGUUGUCCGGAAUUACUGGGUGUAAAGGGAGCGUAGGCGGGAUCGCAAGUCAGAUGUGAAAACUAUGGGCUUAACCCAUAAACUGCAUUUGAAACUGUGGUUCUUGAGUGAAGUAGAGGUAAGCGGAAUUCCUAGUGUAGCGGUGAAAUGCGUAGAUAUUAGGAGGAACAUCAGUGGCGAAGGCGGCUUACUGGGCUUUAACUGACGCUGAGGCUCGAAAGCGUGGGGAGCAAACAGGAUUAGAUACCCUGGUAGUCCACGCCGUAAACGAUGAUUACUAGGUGUGGGGGGACUGACCCCUUCCGUGCCGCAGCAAACGCAAUAAGUAAUCCACCUGGGGAGUACGACCGCAAGGUUGAAACUCAAAGGAAUUGACGGGGGCCCGCACAAGCAGUGGAGUAUGUGGAUUAAUUCGAAGCAACGCGAAGAACCUUACCAGGUCUUGACAUCGUAUGCAUAGCCCAGAGAUGAGUGAAAUCUCUUCGGAGACAUAUAGACAGGUGGUGCAUGGUUGUCGUCAGCUCGUGUCGUGAGAUGUUGGGUUAAGUCCCGCAACGAGCGCAACCCUUACUGUUAGUUGCUACGCAAGAGCACUCUAGCAGGACUGCCGUUGACAAAACGGAGGAAGGUGGGGAUGACGUCAAAUCAUCAUGCCCCUUAUGACCUGGGCCUCACACGUACUACAAUGGCUGUCAACAGAGGGAAGCAAAGCCGCGAGGUGGAGCGAACCCCUAAAAGCAGUCUUAGUUCGGAUUGUAGGCUGCAACCCGCCUACAUGAAGUCGGAAUUGCUAGUAAUCGCAGAUCAGCAUGCUGCGGUGAAUACGUUCCCGGGCCUUGUACACACCGCCCGUCACGCCAUGGGAGUCGGUAACACCCGAAGCCUGUAGUCUAACCGCAAGGAGGACGCAGUCGAAGGUGGGAUUGAUGACUGGGGUGAAGUCGUAACAAGGUA
rnacentral:rRNA from 1 species